ensembl:lncRNA
UUGGGUCUAAGCUGUGCAGUAAACUUCGGUGGAAAGAGCAGAUUCACUGACCUGUCCUUAUGUUUCGUGGAUCUUGCAUCAUCUUUGACAAGAAUUCCAGAUGCCCUUGUGCCCAGAGCCAAGACAUGGGAACAACCUAAGUGUCCAUGGAUGGAUGGAUGGAUAAAGAAGAUGUGGUACAUACAUACAAUGGGGCAGUGUUCAGUCAGGAGAAAGAAGGAAAUCCUGCCAUUUGCAACCACGUGGAUGGACCUUGAGGCAUCAACUAAGUGAAGUAAGUUCAAGAAAGACAAAUACUGUUUGGUCUCACAUAUAUGGGAUCUAGAAACUUUGAACUCCUAGAAACAGGAAGUGAAAUAGUGGUUGCCAGGGGCUGAGGGGUGGGGUAAGUAGGGAGCCCCACUUGGUCAAAGAGUAGAAGCUUACAGUUAUGAGGUGAAUAAGUGCUGGGACCUAACAUACAGCAUGGUGACUAUACUUUUUUUUUUUUUUUUUUGUCUUUUUGCUAUUUCUUGGGCCGCCCCUGCAGCAUAUGGAGGUUCCCAGGCUAGGGGUUGAAUCGGAGCCAUAGCCACCGGCCUACGCCAGAGCCACAGCAACGCGGGAUCCGAGCCACGUCUGCAACCUACACCACAGCUCACGGCAACGCCGGAUCGUUAACCCACUGAGCAAGGGCAGGGACCGAACCCGCAACCUCAAGGUUCCUAGUCGGAUUCGUUAACCACUGCGCCACAAUGGGAACUCCAACUAUACUUUACUUAAAAGCACUGCAUCCUGUGCUUGAAAGUUGCUAUGAGACCAGAGCUUUAGUGUUCCCACCAUAACAAUGAAAUGGUCAUUAUAUAAGAUAAAGGAG